CCUACGGGUGGCAGCAGUGAGGAAUAUUGGUCAAUGGGCGCGAGCCUGAACCAGCCAAGUCGCGUGAGGGAAGACGGCCCUACGGGUUGUAAACCUCUUUUGCCGGGGAGCAACGGGCGCCACGUGUGGCGCCACUGAGAGUACCCGGAGAAAAAGCAUCGGCAAACCCCGUGCCAGCAGCCGCGGUAAUCCGGGGGAUGCGAGGGUAAUCCGGUUUUAUUGGGUUAAAGGGGUGCGUAGGCGGAGCGUUAAGUCAGUGGUAAAAUUGGGGGGCUCAACCCCUUCCCGCCAUUGAAACUGGCGCUCGUGAGUAGAAGAGAAGUAUGCGGAAUGCGUGGUGUAGCGGUGAAAUGCAUAGAUAUCACGCAGAACCCCGAUUGCGAAGGCAGCAUGCCGGCUUCCGACUGACGCUGAAGCACGAAAGCGUGGGGAUCGAACAGGAUUAGAUACCCCUGUAGUC
rnacentral:rRNA from 1 species